rnacentral:rRNA from 1 species
AACGAACGCUGGCGGCAUGCCUAACACAUGCAAGUCGAACGAGACCUUCGGGUCUAGUGGCGCACGGGUGCGUAACGCGUGGGAACCUGCCCUUAGGUUCGGAAUAACUCCCCGAAAGGGGUGCUAAUACCGGAUAAUGUCUUCGGACCAAAGAUUUAUCGCCUUUGGAUGGGCCCGCGUUGGAUUAGCUAGUUGGUAGGGUAAAAGCCUACCAAGGCGACGAUCCAUAGCUGGUCGGAGAGGAUGAUCAGCCACACUGGGACUGAGACACGGCCCAGACUCCUACGGGAGGCAGCAGUGGGGAAUAUAGGACAAUGGGCGAAAGCCUGAUCCAGCAAUGCCGCGUGAGUGAUGAAGGCCUUAGGGUUGUAAAGCUCUUUUACCCGGGAUGAUAAUGACAGUACCGGGAGAAUAAGCACCGGCUAACUACGUG